rnacentral:sRNA from 1 species
AAGUUGCUUCCAGGUCAUUCCAUGUUGAAGAGAAAGGCAAGACAACGCCAAAGCCAAAGCCCAAAAAUAGUGUCGGUUUUUUCAGUUUUAAACAUAAAAAACUAAACCGAAUCAAUCGGUUGAAACUAGAACCGGUUCGUUUCAUUUUUUUU